rnacentral:rRNA from 1 species
ACGCUGGCGGCACGCCUUAUACAUGCAAGUCGAACGAAGUAGCAAUACUUAGUGGCAGACGGGUGAGUAACAUGUGGGUAUCUUCCCUUUGGUGAGGAAUAACACGAGGAAACUUGUGCUAAUACCUCAUAAGUCUUUACGGAGAAAGCUUUAUGCGCCAAUGGAUGAGCUCGCACUUGAUUAGUUUGUUGGUGGGGUAAUGGCCUACCAAGACUUUGAUCAAUAGCUGAUUUGAGAGGAUGAUCAGCCACAUUGGGACUGAGACACGGCCCAAACUCCUACGGGAGGCAGCAGUAAGGAAUCUUGCACAAUGGAGGAAACUCUGAUGCAGCGAUGCCGCGUGAGUGAAGAAGGCCUUUGGGUUGUAAAGCUCUUUCGUCGGGGAAGAAAAUGACUGUACCCGAAUAAGAAGGUCCGGCUAACUUCGUGCCAGCAGCCGCGGUAAUACGAAGGGACCUAGCGUAGUUCGGAAUUACUGGGCUUAAAGAGUUCGUAGGUGGUUAAAAAAGUUGGUAGUGAAAUCCCAGAGCUUAACUCUGGAACUGCUAUCAAAACUUUUUAGCUAGAGUAUGAUAGAGGAAAGCAGAAUUUCUAGUGUAGAGGUGAAAUUCGUAGAUAUUAGAAAGAAUACCAAUUGCGAAGGCAGCUUUCUGGAUCAUUACUGACACUGAGGAACGAAAGCAUGGGUAGCGAAGAGGAUUAGAUACCCUCGUAGUCCAUGCCGUAAACGAUGUGUGUUAGACGUUGGAAAUUUAUUUUCAGUGUCGCAGCGAAAGCGAUAAACACACCGCCUGGGGAGUACGACC